GACGAACGCUGGCGGCGUGCUUAACACAUGCAAGUCGAACGAAGUGGCGAACGGGUGAGUAACGCGUAAUCAACCUGCCCUUCAGGGGGGGACAACAGUUGGAAACGACUGCUAAUACCGCAUACUGAAGGAGGGGAGUGCGUCUGAUUCGCUAGUUGGAGGGGUAACGGCCCACCAAGGCGAUGAUCAGUAGCCCGGCUUAGAAGAUGGACGGCCACAUUGGGACUGGGACACGGCCCAGACUCCUACGGGAGGCAGCAAUGGGGAAUCUUCCGCCAUGGACGGAAGUCUGACGGAGCAACGCCGCCUGAGUUAAGACGGCCUUCGGGUUGGAAAGCUCUGUUAAUCGGGACGCGGUACCGGAAUAGAAAGCCACGGCUAACUACGUGCCAGCCGCCGCGGUAAUAC
rnacentral:rRNA from 1 species